GUCUAUGUGAAAAUAAUUUACUGCUGCAGUGGAUGGAAGAAAAGCUAUUCAAGCUCAAGAGAAUGCACCAAAGCGAUCUGCUCUCAGGGUUGUAAUUCCAAUCACGGCUCUUGUGUCGCACCCAACAGGUGCCAAUGUUCUUCGGGAUGGACUGGGUCUACCUGUAGCAAUGAUGACAAUGAAUGUGCUAGAAAUAAUGGUGGAUGUGACCAAAAUUGUGUGAAUACACCUGGCUCGUAUCAGUGCAGCUGCAACAUUGGAUAC